GCGUCGGUGGUUCAGUGGUAGAAUACUCGCCUGCCACGCGGGUGACCCGAGUUCAAUUCCCGGCCGACGCA
rnacentral:tRNA from 1 species